rnacentral:piRNA from 1 species
GAACUCAGAAAUGGUCAAGUUGGACCUUC